rnacentral:lncRNA from 1 species
CAUGGUUCUCAAAGUGUCAGGCCCCCUCUAGUUGUUAUGCAAGUGAAACACUAAAUUAAACUAAUUAAUGUUAAUUUAUUUUAACUUAAUCUUUGAGUAUUUUUUUUUUUUGCACAUUUAAGUAUGUUACAGUUAAAGUACAGUACAGUUUUGUAACUUUUGUUACAUAAUUACAUUUAAAAUUACAUUUUAAUUUAAACUUUUUUUUUUUUAUUUACCUGUGUAUGUAAGCACAGUUGUAGUGUUAAUGUUCAAACAUGGUAAAGUGUCUGUCAACAAUUAAUAUUCUUAUUAGAAUAAAACUGCCUCAUUUUUUAACUGUAGAGCUGUAGCUGAAUAGUUUGGUCUACUACGCUGCUGAAAUGUAAUGUUGGUCAUUAUGGUGCAACUUAAUAUUUAAUAACAAAUAUUUUCUGAAGUGGUACUUGGUAUAAAAAGUUUGAGAACCAAUGGUUUAAAGAAAUGGUAUAAUAUGAAAUCCUGCUUUUUAAGAACUUUUCAGUAAACCAUUUCUUCUUUCCCCUUGUAGAGUCAUCGAGGAACCAGUUUAUUCUUGAAACAUUGGACGGUACAGAAAGUGCACAAGUGGGAGAGAGUGGAGGGGACGGCGUCAGAAAGGACCUAGCGCUGGGACACUUUCAAGGAUCACCCGAACCACAACCACACUGUAUACACGAGGCUGCUGGUUCUAACAUUUUAGAGUCCCCUUUGGUAGAAAUCACAUUUUGGAGGAUCUGUCCAGAUCUUUCACCAUAGAAAACAUUUGGCGCAUCAUAAAGAGGAAGAUGUGACAAAGAAGACCGAAGACAGUUGAGCAGCUAGAAGCCUGUAUUAGACAAGAAUGGAACAACAUUCCUAUUCCUAAACUUGAGCAACUUGUCUCCUCAGUCCCCAGACGUUUGCAGACUGUUAUAAAAAGAAGAGCGGAUGCCACACAGUGGUAAACAUGGUCUUGUCCCAACUUUGAGAUGUGUUGAUGCCAUGAAAUUUAAAAUUAACUUAUUUUUCCCUUAAAAUGAUACAUUUUCUCAGUUUAAACAUUUGAUAUGUCAUCUAUGUUGUAUUCUGAAUAAAAUAUUGAAAUUUGAAACUUCCACAUCAUUGCAUUCUGUUUUUAUUCAGAAUUUGUACAGUGUCCAAACUUUUUUGGAAUUGGGU